rnacentral:rRNA from 1 species
CCUACGGGAGGCUGCAGUGAGGAAUAUUGGUCAAUGGACGAGAGUCUGAACCAGCCAAGUAGCGUGAAGGAUGACUGCCCUAUGGGUUGUAAACUUCUUUUAUAUGGGAAUAAAAUGUUCCACGUGUGGGAUUUUGUAUGUACCAUAUGAAUAAGGAUCGGCUAACUCCGUGCCAGCAGCCGCGGUAAUACGGAGGAUCCGAGCGUUCUCCGGAUUUAUUGGGUUUAAAGGGAGCGUAGGUGGAUUGUUAAGUCAGUUGUGAAAGUUUGCGGCUCAACCGUAAAAUUGCAGUUGAAACUGGCAGUCUUGAGUACAGUAGAGGUGGGCGGAAUUCGUGGUGUAGCGGUGAAAUGCUUAGAUAUCACGAAGAACUCCGAUUGCGAAGGCAGUUCACUGGACUGCAACUGACACUGAGGCUCGAAAGUGUGGGUAUCAAACAGGAUUAGAUACCCGAGUAGUC